CCUACGGGAGGCAGCAGUGGGGGAUAUUGCACAAUGGGGGAAACCCUGAUGCAGCGAUGCCGCGUGAAUGAAGACGGCCUUCGGGUUGUAAAGUUCUGUCGCAGGGGACGAAAAUGACGGUACCUGACUAAGAAGCCCCGGCUAACUACGUGCCAGCAGCCGCGGUAAUACGUAGGGGGCAAGCGUUAUCCGGAUUUACUGGGUGUAAAGGGAGCGUAGACGGCUAAUCAAGUCAGAAGUGAAAACCCAGGGCUCAACCUUGGGACUGCUUUUGAAACUGAGUAGCUAGAGUGCAGGAGAGGUAAGCGGAAUUCCUAGUGUAGCGGUGAAAUGCGUAGAUAUUAGGAGGAACACCAGUGGCGAAGGCGGCUUACUGGACUGUAACUGACGUUGAGGCUCGAAAGCGUGGGGAGCAAACAGGAUUAGAUACCCCUGUAGUC
rnacentral:rRNA from 1 species